rnacentral:sRNA from 1 species
GACUGGUCUCGUGCAAACAAUGUGGUCAUCUUUUGGAUUUACAACGCUGUCUCCAAAGACAUUCUCACCAGCAUUCUUUUGCCACCACUGUUAAGGAAAUUUGAGACGAAUCUUCGCCGGUAAUUGAUGUCGUUACAACAAGGAACCGAUUAUGUCAUCAUAUACUAAACAAAGCUCAAGUCUAUUUGGGAAGAGUUAUCCGGAUACAAACCACCAUUCUGUACGUGCGGAGGUUUGCAAAUCCUUCACCAAUACACAGAGACUGAGUACGUGAUGUCGUUCUUGAUGAGGCUUAACGAAUCUUUUUCCUAAAUUCAUGGACAGAUUCUGCUAUCAGAACUGCUACCCACUAUCGAUUUUUUUUUGUGAAAAAUGAUCAAAAUGGAGAAAAUUUAGUCAAUUGUGGGCAAAACUGACUUUGAUCAUGAGACUCUAGUCACAUUGGACAAUCUUGAGCCUUGAGCCACACAUACAAACUUAGAUAUGAGGUUAAGUCACAAAGACUUUUUCUCAGAGAAGUUAUAUCAGGGUUACAACGCUACACAAGGCCUGAGCCACAAAGAAAAUCCAUUUUAGAAGGAAAUAUUUGCAAUUGGAGUCACACGUUAACAGCUGAAACCAUCUUAGAAGAAAAUAUCUGCAACUGGAGUCACACUUUAUCAGUUGAAACCAUGCAUUGGAAAGUUCAUAAAAACAGAGUUGUUUGUUUUAAGUGACUUUUAGAUAGAUCUUAGAGAGAAACUUUUUAGAGAGUUUUUCAAACACUUUUGGGAGAUAAUGACUCUUCUUGUAUGAAUUUUUUUUAUCCUCUACGAGGAGCUAAAUCUCCUAUAAAGCAAAAAUAUAAUUCUUU